CACCUACGGGGGGCAGCAGUGGGGGAUAUUGCACAAUGGGGGAAACCCUGAUGCAGCGACGCCGCGUGAGUGAAGAAGUAUUUCGGUAUGUAAAGCUCUAUCGGCAGGGAAGAAAAAAAUGACAGUACCUGACUAAGAAGCCCCGGCUAACUACGUGCCAGCAGCCGCGGUAAUACGUAGGGGGCAAGCGUUAUCCGGAUUUACUGGGUGUAAAGGGAGCGUAGGCGGCCAUGCAAGUCAGAAGUGAAAACCCGGGGCUCAACCCUGGGAGGGCUUUUGAAACUGUGCGG
rnacentral:rRNA from 1 species